AGCAAGUCAGGAGCUUAAAGUUGACCUAGAAGAUGAGCAGGGUGACAGGGCUGCUUCGUUAAGCUGCUGAUAAAUUUUUCAAGUUUAAGUCUGCCUUCUGAGGGAAAAGUGACAGUGGCCAGGCUUUUGGAGUUAAUUCAUUACCAUUGCAAAACUAUGGAAGCCCGUUUCCCUGUGGAAGCCCGU